rnacentral:rRNA from 1 species
GAUGAACGCUGGCGGCGUGCCUAAUACAUGCAAGUCGAGCGAACGGACGAGAAGCUUGCUUCUCUGAUGUUAGCGGCGGACGGGUGAGUAACACGUGGAUAACCUACCUAUAAGACUGGGAUAACUUCGGGAAACCGGAGCUAAUACCGGAUAAUAUUUUGAACCGCAUGGUUCAAAAGUGAAAGACGGUCUUGCUGUCACUUAUAGAUGGAUCCGCGCUGCAUUAGCUAGUUGGUAAGGUAACGGCUUACCAAGGCAACGAUGCAUAGCCGACCUGAGAGGGUGAUCGGCCACACUGGAACUGAGACACGGUCCAGACUCCUACGGGAGGCAGCAGUAGGGAAUCUUCCGCAAUGGGCGAAAGCAUGACGGAGCAACGCCGAGUGAGUGAUGAAGGUCUUCGGAUCGUAAAACUCUGUUAUUAGGGAAGAACAUAUGUGUAAGUAACUGUGCACAUCUUGACGGUACCUAAACAGAAAGCCACGGCUAACUACGUG